GAUAAAAUCAUAAAAUGUUUCAUUCCUAAGCAUCGAAUGGAAUUAAACAUUUUAUGAUUUUAUCAGAAGAUAACCUUUUAUUUUUUAAGAGUAUAAAGAGAAAAAAAAAGAGUGAUACUGUGAGUUCAGAGAAAAAAGAAGUAGGUUCAGGAGAAAGUCGGACAAAUGAGACUAGCUCCAUUAAUAAAGGGCAAGAAAAAAAGAAAAUUUAAUAAAACAACCUAGUGCUAUUAAGAAUACUCAAAAAUAUGUGGAAAAGGUAACAAGUGAUAAAAUUGCUAGUAAUACUGACAUAAGUGACAAAACAGAAGUAAUAAACAAAGGUGAUAAUACAGAGGAACAAACUAAUUAUAGUGAAAACAAAAGCAAUCAACCUAACGAAAGUUAUAACAAUAAGAAUACAGAAUUAAUUGAAAGUAAAACAUACACAGAAGAAAAAGACGACAUAAAAGAUAAAAUUGAAACAGCAAAGAAUGUAGAACUAAAAGAGGAAAUAAAAGCUGAAGUAGAAACUGCAAAAAUGUAGAAACAAAAGGAAAAACAGAAGAUUCAUCAGAUGUAGUUAGUAAAACAACAGAAGAUAUAACUAAGAGUCGUAUGGAGCAACAAGGAGAUAGAGUCGAAUAUUCAGUUCAUGGUACACUUGGACCGACUUCACAAAACUUAGAGAGUUUAUUUGUAAAAGAUAAAAAAACCAUUUAUUUCGGUGCUUUUAAAAAAAAUGCAAAAAAAAAGAAGUUAUGAUUCGAAUUUUGUGUUGGAUGAAAAAAAUAACAUCAAAAUGAAAAGAAAAAAAAGUGAAAAUGUAGAAAAAAAGUUAAAAAAAAAUAGUUACAAAACUAGUUCUAAUGAUAAAUGUGCAGUAAAAAGUAAAAAAAAAAAAAAAAAAAAAAAAAAAAAAAAAAAAAAAAGCAAUAAAAAAAAAGCAGACAACCAUAGCAGCAAUGAUGAUAAAAAAAAAAAUAAACAUGCUAAUAAAAAACAUACGUCAAGUAAAUAUGAAGAAAAAGACAAAUUAAAUAUAUUAAGCAAAAAAGAUGACAUAAAUAAUAAACAAAAAAUAAAAAAAGAAUUGAACAAAAACGAAACAAAUAAAACAAAGGAUAUAAAAAACAAAACAAAACAAAAAGAAACGGAAAACGAAAAUAAAAAUAGUGACGACGACAAGGAAGAAAAAAAAAAAGAGAGCAAAGGUUCAGAAGAAAGAAGGGUUUACAUUCAUUUAGAAAGCCCAUUAUCAAUUUUAACAUGUGGAGGAUUGAUAAGCUCUAAAAAACUAAUUGAAGCUCAAACCGUUUUAAUUGAAAACAAUAAAAGAUUAGAAAAGGCAAAAAAUAACUGUUCUGUAAACAAUACCAAGACAAAAGAUGUAGAUAAUAAUAGCUGUGAAAAAGAAGAAAAGGAACAUAAUAAAAAAAACAAGAAAAAAACAAACUCUUUUUUAUUUUCAAACUCCUUGGCAGUUGAAGUAGACCUCAGUAGUUGUUUUUUUUUUCAUUCUUCUUUUACUUGUCCUAUAAGUCGCGACAGGUCAACAAAAACAAACCCACCUUAUUUAUUAACUUGUGGCCACGCAAUUUGCAAAAAUUGUUUAGACAAAAUUCACAUUCAAAAAUCCAGACAAUUCAAAUGUCCCAUGUGUCCUAAGUAUUUAUUUUUAUCUGAUGUAAUCCCUUUAAAAUUUAAUUAAAAAAAAUAAAGAGUCAAGUAUAUCUCUUUUGCUUUUCGUU
ensembl:lncRNA